rnacentral:tRNA from 1 species
GGGCUGGUAGCUGAGAAGGUCUAGCGGCGGUCUGAAGAACCGCAGGCGAGGAUUCGAGCGCCUCCCGGCCCAC